GCUGGGUGUGGUGGUGCACGCCUGUAAUCCCAGCUACUUGGGAAGCUGAGGUGGGAGGAUCACUUGAACCCAGGAAGCAGAGGUUGUAGUGAGCCAAGAUCAUGCCACUGCACUCCAUCCUGGGUGACAGAGCAAGAUUCCGUCUCAA
rnacentral:SRP_RNA from 1 species